rnacentral:rRNA from 1 species
UGGGGAAUAUUGCACAAUGGGCGCAAGCCUGAUGCAGCCAUGCCGCGUGUGUGAAGAAGGCCUUCGGGUUGUAAAGCACUUUCAGCGGGGAGGAAGGCGAUAAGGUUAAUAACCUUGUCGAUUGACGUUACCCGCAGAAGAAGCACCGGCUAACUCCGUGCCAGCAGCCGCGGUAAUACGGAGGGUGCAAGCGUUAAUCGGAAUUACUGGGCGUAAAGCGCACGCAGGCGGUCUGUCAAGUCGGAUAUGAAAUCCCCGGGCUCAACCUGGGAACUGCAUUCGAAACUGGCAGGCUAGAGUCUUGUAGAGGGGGGUAGAAUUCCAGGUGUAGCGGUGAAAUGCGUAGAGAUCUGGAGGAAUACCGGUGGCGAAGGCGGCCCCCUGGACAAAGACUGACGCUCAGGUGCGAAAGCGUGGGGAGCAAACAGG